UACGGAGGGGGCUAGCGUUGUUCGGAAUUACUGGGCGUAAAGCGCACGUAGGCGGACUGUUAAGUCGGGGGUGAAAUCCCGGGGCUCAACCCCGGAACUGCCUUCGAUACUGGCAGUCUAGAGGAAGGUAGAGGCUAGUGGAAUGGCGAGUGUAGAGGUGAAAUUCGUAGAUAUUCGCCGGAACACCAGUGGCGAAGGCGACUGGCGGGACCUUUUCUGACGCUGAGGUGCGAAAGCGUGGGGAGCAAACAGG
rnacentral:rRNA from 1 species